ACACUGGGAGAGCACAGUUGGCAUGAGAAGGCGGCCAGGAGCCACGCUGCUGUGUGAGGGGGUUCUAAGGGCUGUGCGCCUGCCUCCCCCACCACAUUAUUACAGUACCCCGAGGCCAGGGAACAUCAGCUAUACUUAGGUUGUCACCUCCUGUGAUUCUUCAUGGAGCUUUCAGAAUAGGGGGCGUGUGGCACACUGGCAGUCCACGGUCCCCAAUCUGGUAGGCCAAUACAUUUUGUUUGACCUUGUGGUUUGCCAACAUUUGUCAAAAGAUUUAUGUGAAAUUCCAGUUCUCCAGCUACCUUCCCUAAAGCUCUGGCUGCACUGUGUGCUUACAGGCGACAGUGAGCAAAGCCACCUCUUGGGCCUACACUAUCCCACGAGCUGAAACCAAGUUUCCCUUUGGGUGGCAGAGUCCCUACUCUGGAACAGGGAGUUGCCCAGGAGAUAUCCCAUGCCCACUCUGCUGUCAUGCCUGCUGGGUCAUCUUCCAGAGCCAGAUGGCAAGGAAAGGAAGUUGGUCUGAGACAGGCCACAAGGGCCCCAGGAGUUAACUGGGCCACCUCAGCCAGGAGCAAAAUAGCUCCUCUAGGGUUUCCAAUUCCUGGCCCCGCCCACUCUCACCCAGAGGGCCAGCCAGCCUGGCUCUAGGCUUGACAGCUCAAGGGCAAAUCCUUGCUUCCUUCCUCCCACAGCAGGAGGUGGGGUCCCAUGGCUGCUCUGUGGCCAAGUCACUGGGCUCUAGGCAAGUCACUUCCUCCUUGGUAUUCCACAGGCCCUGGGAGACGCCCUACUAGUCUGAUUUGGUUCAAAAGCAGAAGAAUAAGUCCUGAGCCCCACCUAGGACAAAACCCUACAUCAGCUCAGGUACCCCACUCUGAUACAUCAGGAGUGCCCCUAAACGCAGGCUUCAUGUAAAAUGUAUAGUGUUCAUGUGAAUAUGUGUUUUUCAAAAUGUGCUGAAAUUACAUGGUGCGGUAAAUCUUGUUUUCUUAACUUUUACACUUGAGAUUUUGUUUUUAAAGCGAUCCUUGCUUCCCUGUGAAUAAUCUUAUAUUGUUGGACUUUUUUUUUUUUACCAUGUUUAUAAAUUAUAUUAAAAAACCAAAAACUCUCAAUAAAUGAAAAAUAUAAGCUGAA